GACGAACGCUGGCAGCGUGCUUAACACAUGCAAGUCGAACGAUGAAGAAAAGAAUCGAAGCUUCGGCAGAAAUUCAUUUCGGAUUAGUGGCAGACGGGUGAGUAACGCGUGAGCAACCUACCUCUUACAAAGGGAUAGCCUCGGGAAACCGGGAUUAAUACCAUAUAACAUUGCGACGAAGCAUUUCGAUGCAAUCAAAGCUACGGCGGUAAGAGAUGGGCUCGCGUCCCAUUAACCGGAUGGUGAGGUAACGGCUCACCAUAGUGACGAUGGGUAACCGGCCUGAGAGGGUGAACGGUCACACUGGAACUGAGACACGGUCCAGACUCCUACGGGAGGCAGCAGUGGGGAAUAUUGCACAAUGGAGGGAACUCUGAUGCAGCGACGCCGCGUGAGUGAUGAAGGAAUUCGUUUCGUAAAACUCUGUUCUAUGGGAAGAAAAGGACUGUACCAUAGGAGAAAGCUCCGGCUAAAUACGU
rnacentral:rRNA from 1 species